CUCACAGCAACGCUGGAUCCUCAACCCACUGAGCGAGGUCAGGGAUCGAACCCGCAACCUUGUGGCUCCUAGUCGGAUUCGUUAACCACUGAGCCACGACGGGAACUCCAAAAUUUGUAGUUUUUAAUCAAACCCUCAAUGUGUUCUGCUAUUUAAAAUAGAAAAAAAUCCUUGGUGGUCAGGGAGAGGAUGUGAGAGAGAAAGGGACGGAGGGAGGUCAGCGGGGGGAGAGAGAGAGAGCACGGAAAGUGAUUUCAUAACAGUUAUACAAGAAGUUGCUAGGAAACUAUUCACUCAAUUUGUGGAUGAUAAACAUUUUCUUCUUAAGCCCAAAUAAAUAGACCUCAUAUCAUUCCAGCCAUGAGAACACAGCUGUUUUUGUGUUGAGAAGGAGCGGGGUUGGGUGGUGUGUGUGUGUGUGUGUGUGUGUGUGUAGGGAGGGAUGGAGGGAUGGGGGAAGGGAGGACGGGUGAAGCCGAGAAGAGGCAUGUGACCUUCUUCCUGUCCUCGAGAAGGAGCUCAAAUGUCCCUGCAGCCUGCUUCUGCGGAUGCCCCAAGAGGAUGGUCCUGGACGGCAGUGAUGGGGGCCACAAGGAAGCAAUUGAGGUUGGCGUGGCCAGGCCCCCACAUGGGUCCAGGUGGGUUGUAGGCCAUGGAAAUCCAGCAUUGCCUCUAACUGACCGGGUAGGUAAGUUGGCCUGCUUCUGACGUUUAGCCUGACAAAGUCUAUUUGCUUCUAGGCUGCAAGUCACAUUCUCUAAUAUCAGCUUAUUUUUAAAUGUUAUCUCUCCAUGGAUCCAGGGUCAGGGAAAAAGAACACAAUUAGUUGGGCUCUAUCAAACCUCAACAAGAGGAUUAAGAGUAAAAUUUUGAGCAGAAUGUCUAGUUAAUCCUCUCGAAGUACCUUUCUCAAAUCUAUGAUGAUAUUAUUUACAUUGCUGUAAUGAUCCAUAUCUAUUUGCCUUUUCCUCCUCUGGAGGGUGAGUCUUUGCUUUUGGUUGUGCAAUUUGUGCUCCGGACAAAGGUGUCCGGUCUGGGGGACAAAAUGGGUGUUAAAGUCCAGCCAGUGCUGUGCCGGUCAGUAGCUGUGUCUUUGUCUGGGGCCACAUCAGCUCAGAGGGUGAGGCACCUUUUUUCAAAUUUGCACAAAACCUCGCCAUGUGCCGACAAAGCCCUAUGUCCUUGUGUUUGAUGAAUGAAUAUGUGCCUACUCUUUAGAUGGGCUGCACCAUUACUUUACUUAAAUGUAAUCCUUCAGAAGGGAGGACUGGCAUCCACUUUUAACUCAUUUUUCAUCAUCUACUGUAAAAGACAAGAAGCCGAUAUAUCAUGCAGGGCCCAGGAAGAGUUGUGAAGGGGGAGUAUAUCUGCUUUGCCAGGUUACUCCCUUAAUUUCCAUUGUUAUUAUUUUCUAUUAGUAUUAUUGUUAUUAUUACAUUUAAGAGUGGGGGGGGGGAAGCAAUGGAUUUAAAGUCAGGAAACCUAAAAUCUGAACCUUAGACUCUGAUUCUAAAUGAAAAUCCUGUAGAUCUCAAUGGUUUGUGGUAAGGACAACGCAAGACAUUACUCGUGAAAAAGUGUUGCACACCAUAAAUUCCUACAGGUGUUAGAGGUUAUUCCUAUUCCUAUUCCCUGAUGGCCUAAAUUAUCCUCAGAAGUGGUUGCCAGUUUAAUUAAUGUGUAAGACUUGCUCUGGCAAUGUUGAUUCUAAUGAUAACAACAUAACACGCUUAUUUCUAGAAAACACCUAGAGCCAUCUCUUUGAAUUAUUUAUUUUCCAACAGGUUUUUAUUGGUCUUGCAAUGUAAUUUGAAGGGGUCUGAGCCUACCUGCUAACGAGCAUUCCAUUUAGCAUCUGCAUGUCUUACUCUGCACAUAUGUCUGCUUCUCUUUCUGUGGUUUAGCAGUUGGUUAAAGAGCUGAUUUCAAACAGAUUCUUCUUGACAAAGCCAUUCUGCUCAUCAACGAGACUUUGCUCCAUCUCACACUUUUUCUAACCAAAUGUAUUCUAACAGAUCUGGAGAAUCUUUCCAAUGUCCUUCUGUAUUAAAGUCCUUCGAGAGUGUAACCCUGAUGAUUUUGUUGAAAAGGGCGGAAAACCCCCAAUUGAUCCAGCAGAUGGUAGAGGCAUCAACAAGUCUUUGUGUUUCUCCAUAAUCUUCCUGACUAUAGUUCCCAAGAAAUACACAGCACAAGACAUAGAGUAGAUGAGGCAGGUAGAACAACCUCAAGGGCAAAAGCAAAGUCAAAGCAGGAAGACUGGAAAGCUUAAUGGCUAAGGACAUGGAUACCAGAUGGGUUGGAAUCCACAUAUCCAACUGCUGGAAUUAGACAGGCCUGGUUCAAAUCCCAGCUCUACCACAUACUUCUUUGUUUUAGCCUCAGUUUUCUGGUCAUGAAAAUGUGGCUAACAGUCCUCACUCCAUAGCAUUGGCAGAGGGAUCAAAUGAGGAAUAUGCUCUAAGAACAAUGUCUGGAGCACAGUAGUCACCCAUUACUUGGUUGUCAGGACUCUAAUUAUUCUGUCACUUGUAAUGUCUUGAUUGGUAGUUUCUAGACACUGCAGAAUGUAAAUAAAGCAGCUGUGGUGGUGAAGAGCUUGGGAAGU
rnacentral:lncRNA from 1 species